rnacentral:rRNA from 1 species
UACGUAGGGUGCGAGCGUUAUUCGGAAUUACUGGGCGUAAAGCGUGUGCAGGCGGCUCGUUAAGACAGGUGUGAAAGCCCCGAGCUUAACUUGGGAAUUGCGCUUGUGACUGGCGUGCUGGAGUGUGGCAGAGGGAGGUGGAAUUCCACGUGUAGCAGUGAAAUGCGUAGAGAUGUGGAGGAACACCGAUGGCGAAGGCAGCCUCCUGGGCCGGCACUGACGCUCAUGCACGAAAGCGUGGGGAGCAAACAGG